GUUCAGACCUGUGCUCUUCCAAUGUCUGAUUUUCAUGUUGUAUAGUUGUCUUACCUGCGACUUUUACGGUCUUUUCAGUGAAUGAGAAGCAGUCAUGUUCUGCUCUGCAUGUUAUAUGCUUCAGUCGUUUCCACUGGCUUGACGAAAGCGUUACAUU